UGGUAUACCUUUGGUUACAACACAGGACAUGGGAGCUUACUUGGAACCCUCGUGUCUUGUGUUGCAGCCAGUGGUGGCCAAA
ensembl:miRNA xtr-mir-187 xtr-mir-187